rnacentral:rRNA from 1 species
ACUCUUCGGAGGGAAGGCAGCGGAAUGAGCGGCGGACGGGUGAGUAACACGUAAGGAACCUGCCUCAAGGAUUGGGAUAACUCCGAGAAAUCGGAGCUAAUACCGGAUAGUUCAUCGGACCGCAUGGUCCGUUGAUGAAAGGCGCUCCGGCGUCACCUUGAGAUGGCCUUGCGGUGCAUUAGCUAGUUGGUGGGGUAACGGCCCACCAAGGCGACGAUGCAUAGCCGACCUGAGAGGGUGAUCGGCCACACUGGGACUGAGACACGGCCCAGACUCCUACGGGAGGCAGCAGUAGGGAAUCUUCCACAAUGGACGAAAGUCUGAUGGAGCAACGCCGCGUGAGUGAUGAAGGUUUUCGGAUCGUAAAACUCUGUUGUAAGGGAAGAACACGUACGAGAGGAAAUGCUCGUACCUUGACGGUACCUUACGAGAAAGCCACGGCUAACUACGUGCCAGCAGCCGCGGUAAUACGUAGGUGGCAAGCGUUGUCCGGAAUUAUUGGGCGUAAAGCGCGCGCAGGCGGCCUUUUAAGUCUGAUGUGAAAGCCCCC